rnacentral:lncRNA from 1 species
UAAUCGACCAGCUUUGGCCUCUCAAAGUGCUGGGAUUACAGGCGUGAGCCACCGCACCCAGCCACCUCUGUUCUUAAGAAACUUAAAUUACAACGGAGGAAAAAACAAAUAUAUUCAUCCAGGAAACACUUGUUGAGGAUCUAUUUAUGUGAGAUACUUUAAAGUCUGAUAGGAAAUGUCACCAUGUAUCUCAAUUUGCCAGGAACUGUCUUAUUUAUACCUGUUGCAUUGGUGUAUUAUAAAUAGCAAUCCUUCUGACCUUCAAAAAUGCCCUAGUUUGUGUGGCAGAUUAGAAGAUUGCUUUGAUGCUGGGAAGUGAUAGGGCCCUGAUAACCUCAUCCACUAGAGUCAGGUCAACGGAGAAGAUUACCAUAGCAACUAAGGACCAUUAUGUUAACAGAAACAGAUAUUAUCACAACCUGGAUAUGUUUGUAAUUUGGAUGAGGCAGUCUCAUUCAUUACCUGAGAUAUUUCUAGAAGCUGUAUUCAUGUUGUUGGUUAAUCUAAUGGAAAGUGUUAUCUUCUCCAGCUUACAAUUCUGAUCAGCAUCUAUGCCUCUGGGAUAGGCUUAGCCUAUGCUGAGACAGGUCAGAUCUCAUGUCUAUGGGGAAUGGACCAAGGAGAAGCCUUAAAGAGUGCGCAGGCCAGGUGUGGUGGCUCACGCCUGUAAUCCCAGCAGUUUGGGAGGCCGAGGCGGGCAGAUCAUUUGAGGCCAGGAGUUCGAGACCAGCCUGACCAACAUGGUGAACCCCAUCUCUACUAAAAAAUAUAAAAAGUUAGCUGGGCGUGGUGGCACAUGCCGGUAAUCCCAGCUACUCGGGAGGCUGAGGCAGGAGAAUUGCUUGAACUUGGGAGACAAGUGAGCCGAGAUCACGCCACUGCACUCCAGCCUGGGAGACACAGCGAGACUCCACAUGAAGAGAAGGGACCUGAAGUCUCAUGAGCUCAGUUCCAUAAUCAUGCCUGGGUGGCUACUCCAUGCUGGGCACUCCUCUAGUCAACAGGGCAGAAGGAAUUUUAUGAGCAGAGCCUGGAGGUGGGAAAUAGCAUGGGGUGUGUGGGGCCCACCAAGCAACUUGGCAUUGGUGGACGUCUACAGUGUGUGGCAGUGGCCAGCAGGGGAUGUGCUAUGGGAAUAGGCAGAGGCCAGACGAUGGAGAACCUACAUCAAGAAACAUCGUGCUUUUUUAAAGCUUGGAAAUGAAAAGAUACCUCAGAUGUGGCUCUAUCCAAAGGGCUCUGCCUGCCUUGGCAGCCACCACACCUGCAGCAAGACGAUCCGUUUUUCAGCGCGUCUGCUGAUCCCUGAACACCUCUCUGCCCCCUCCAGGGCUCUGUCCAGGUGUAUGUUACUCAUAUUUGCAGAUUCAGUGCUGAUGAGACAGUUUCUGGAGACCCAGGACAAACAAUGCUGGCUGGAAGAGCCAACCCUGGCCAGUCAGCCCCUUGUUUGGCAGCACUUCCAGGUGCUACAGAAGAACUGGUGCAGCAAGGACGAUUGAUUCGUGUGGGUCAAAGUAGGGGUGUUGAUGUUCUUCCGGAAUGUGCAGCAGUUGCUGAUAAUAUUGGCUGACACUGAAGAUCCUGCCAAUUUCUUUAAUCUUCCUUACUGCUGGUAGACUUGAAUGGUCCAAAAGGCCAUGUAUACCAGCCUGGAGUGCUACCCCGAAACCACUGGAUCUUGAACUCCCUGCCACUCUGAACGGCAAUGCACAAAGCAGGUGAUCUUAUUUAUACUGGCAACAUAAGUUCUUGGUAACAGGGGCAGAGCAGUAUGGUUUGGUGCCUAACACAGGAAGUUAAAAAAUAAAAAUAAUAAAAGGAAAGAAAGGGGGGAAAAAAUGCUCCUAUCAGUGUGGAAUGGGCAAGUAGAACCCACCAAAAAGGUAAAAUGUGAAACUAGCAGGAAGAACUGUCUCCAAUUGCAUGAGAAGAACAUGCCAACAAAAGACAAUUUUUCAAAGAUAAUUGUUAAGAAACACAUUGCCAAGAACUUUAAAAAUCAAGUACAAGCCAGGCAUGGUGGCAUGUGCCUGUGGUCCCAGCUACUUGAGAGACUGAGGCAGGAGGAUGGCUUAAGCCCAGAGUUUAACACUGUAGUGUGCGAUGAUCAUGCCUGUGAAUAGUCACUGCACUCCAGCCUGGGUGACAUAGCAAGACCCCACCUGUGAAAAAAAAAAAAAAAAAAAUCAUGUGCAGACAUUUGUUUUCCAGUUUGCUAGACACCAGCACUUGAAGAAAUAUCUCUUUUAGGAUGAAGAGAUGUUUUUCCUAAAGUUGUAUGAAACAGCUUUUCCUCUGUACUAACUCACUUAAACAUGAAUGAGUCUUAAAUUAUUACUUUUUCUUCUCUAUUGCAAGAGUCUCACUGGUGUUCAUUUCCUGAAGAGUCAACGAUGAACUAAGGGCGUGUGGGAGGCAUUCUCCUCCUUUGAGGACUGUAGAGAUGCCGAUAGAUAGAAAUAAUCUUGAACAAAAAGGUCCAUGAGGUUAUUGGACUGAUUUAUGGUCCAUUCUAGGUCAUGUGCAUGCCAAGUCUAUCUUUUUCAUCCAAAAUGCCUCCAUGAGUAUGUUCUGAACUGGGAUCCUGGGGCUCAUAUGAUUAUGACUAUUUUUUAACUGUGACUCUCACCGUAGAGAACACUCCAAUUUAACAUGCCCGUUUAUGAAGUUCAACUCAUGAUUAAUUGUCAUUUACACCAGCGCUACUCAAAGUGUGGGUCUCUGAUGCUUGAGGAGCGUGGUGCAAACUGUAAAUCAACAUACUGCUUUCUUCAUGGAGAAAGUCAGGCACUAAAAACCUGUCCGCUAAACUACAGUGUGCUUGGUGAGGCGGUUGACACACAUUAUGGUGCAAACUUCACCUCUUGAUGUGGCAAGGUAACCGUCUGCAGACCAACGUCUGUCUACAGACUGCACUUUGAGGCACUCUGACAUAUACUUGACAUAUAUUUACAUCAUCUUUAUAAUCUAUAAGAUGCAAUCUAUAAUUAUUAAUCUGUCUCAAUUUUAAAAAGAUUAUUUUGAAACAAUUUCGAAUGUAUAGAGAAGUUGCAAGACUACUACAAAAGACUCCUGCAUGCCUUUCUUUCUUUUCUUUUUUUUUUUAAUUUAUAAUUUUUUUUUCUUUUAUAGAGAUGGGGUCUUGCUAUGUUUACCAGGCUGGCCUCGAACUCCUGGUCUCAAGCAUUCCUCCCAUCUCAGCCUCCCAAAGUGCUGGGAUUACAGGCAUGAGCCACCAUACCCGGCCCCCGUAUGCCUUUCAUUCAGACUCCUUUCAAGUUUUACUCAUGAUGUGCUUGCUACCAAUGGGUCCAAAUUAUGAUCCUAUGAUCUAGCCUCUUUCUAUCUGGAUCCUUCUCUGAGUUCCAUGCUCUUGACCUUUAUGAAGGUUACAUUUUGUAGAAUGAUUCUCAAGUUGGGUUGUCCUCUGCUUUUUCAUGGUUAGACCAGGUCACGCCUUUUGGACAAGAAUGUCACAGAAGUGAUGCAGUGGUCUCACUGCCCACUAUCAAAUAGCCCAUGAUGCUAUUUUGCCCCAUUGGUGAUGGUAACUUUGAUUGCUUGAUUAAGAUGGUGUCUG